UCCAUUUCCUUUUCACUCCCCUCAAAACCCACACCGCCUUCACUCCCCGGAAAACUCACCAUGCCACCGCCAAUUCUCCAGCCGCGUCGCCGUUCCACUUCUCCCUCCUAUGAGCGCCUCUUGUCUAACCACUUCCAUUUAUUUUGAGUUUGUCACCUCCAGAAUAUGUCAAGUGAGCUUUGCUGGAGAACUGUUGGAGUACUUUGAAUAACAGUUGUGAUGGGACACCUAAUACCUUAAGAGGCUUCCCUGCUUGGACUUGUACUGGGUAUUUUCAACAGUAAGGAGCCUUAUGUGUUUCAGCAGGAGUAUCAAAUGCGGAAAAUGAAGCAGGCAAGUGUUGCCUUCUGCUAAAUUUUUUUAUGAUAGGAUUCGCUACAUCCUCAACGAAACAAGUAUAUACUUCAAUAGUCGUGCUCAUGUGUGUCAAUUUCUAUUUUUCAUAAAUCAUUGUGGUCGAAUAAAACUGAAUGCAGAUGAAUUAUUGAGUUGAAUAAAACUGAAUUAUGUCCAAUCAAAUAUUUUAGUCGAGCUGAACUUAAUUUAAUCAGAUGAAACAAAAUUAGGUUGAAUCUGAUUCUGUUAUUUAUUAAGCAAAGUGACUGAUUUCGUUAUUAGUGUUUAUGAAAGAUUUGAGUUAUAUGUAUUAUGGUCUUGCUUGUUGCAGUGGUUGGUUAAGUAUUUGUGGAUUAGGAACACAAAUUUCUUGGAUGCCAUUCCCUUCUAAGAAAUUCAGUCAUAUGUAUAAUAUGGUCUUCUGGCCUUCCUUCUAAGAAAUCUUCGACUAUAGUGGUCAUGUACUUUUUGGCUUAUUUCUAAUAGUCUGAAGAGUUGUCUCCUUUGUAUAGAUAAUCUGAUAGAGUCAUCUUCUUUGCAUAGAAUGUAUCAUAUAUUGUGUCAGAUGUGUCUUCUAGCAGUGAGUUUUGUGGUGUUUAAUGUUUGG